rnacentral:rRNA from 1 species
CCCAGACUCCUACGGGAGGCAGCAGUGAGGAAUAUUGGUCAAUGGCCGCAGGGCUGAACCAGCCAAGUCGCGUGAGGGAUGACGGUCCUAUGGAUUGUAAACCUCUUUUGUCAGGGAGCAAAGGGCGCCACGUGUGGCGCUUUGCGAGUACCUGAAGAAAAAGCAUCGGCUAACUCCGUGCCAGCAGCCGCGGUAAUACGUAGGGAGCAAGCGUUGUCCGGAAUUACUGGGCGUAAAGGGCGCGUAGGUGGGUGCUUAAGUCAGGUGUGAAAACUCUGGGCUCAACCUGGAGACUGCACUUGAAACUGGGUAUCUUGAGGGCAGGAGAGGAAAGUGGAAUUCCUAGUGUAGCGGUGAAAUGCGUAGAUAUUAGGAGGAACACCAGUGGCGAAGGCGACUUUCUGGACUGUACCUGACGCUGAGGCGCGAAAGCGUGGGUAGCGAACGGGAUUAGAUACCCUCGUAU